rnacentral:rRNA from 1 species
CCUACGGGAGGCAGCAGUGAGGAAUAUUGGUCAAUGGACGAGAGUCUGAACCAGCCAAGUAGCGUGAAGGAUGACUGCCCUAUGGGUUGUAAACUUCUUUUAUAUGGGAAUAAAAUGUUCCACGUGUGGGAUUUUGUAUGUACCAUAUGAAUAAGGAUCGGCUAACUCCGUGCCAGCAGCCGCGGUAAUACGGAGGGUCCGAGCGUUAUCCGGAUUUAUUGGGUUUAAAGGGAGCGUAGGUGGAUUGUUAAGUCAGUUGUGAAAGUUUGCGGCUCAACCGUAGAAGUGCAGUUGAAACUGGCAGUCUUGAGUACAGUAGAGGUGGGCAGAAUUCGUGGUGUAGCGGUGAAAUGCUUAGAUAUCACGAAGAACACCGAUUGCGAAGGCAGCUCACUGGACUGAAACUGACACUGAGGCGCGAAAGUGUGGGUAGCAAACAGGAUUAGAUACCCCAGUAGUC